ensembl:snRNA Gm25914 predicted gene, 25914
AUCCUUCCCUAGCAGGGAAGAUACCACGAUAAAAAAUGUGGAUACUCAUUGUACUCCAGAUGUUCUGACCUCUGAGAUUUCCCCAAAUGUGGAAAACUCAACUUAAAAAUGGCUUAAUUUUUGUUAGUGGGGUACUGCAUGCAUCUAACUCCU